UGGCAGAAGAACAAGAUUCUCUUUCUUCUUCCUACAGUUAAGCCACAGAAAGGCUUGUGAUUGGACUUUAUUUAUGCCUUGCAUAUGUCAAAAGAACUCUCAAAACGUGUGUUGGUUUGUGGCAAACAUUUUACUGACAACUGCUUGUGCAGUUUGGGACAAUAAAAAUGUGGAUUAGCUUUCACUUUCCCUAGGAUCGAUAUCAAAUCUCUCUGGAACAGCAAGUAACCCUGUUCAAGUGCUGACGUCAAAGACUCAAUGUGAACGGAAGCAUGUGGAAGAGCUUGGGAUGACCACGAGACUGUGGCGAGAGUCUUCAGGGUGACUGUCAUCAUGUAUCAGGGCUGUGAAGACAUCUGCUGGAGGACAUACCUGCUGCAUGGUAACGGAGCGACCUCAGCAAAGUCCCAACACAUUGCAUGACUCUCCCACCCACAGGCUGACUGCUCUGCUGAUCUACCAUCAACCGAACAGCAAUGCAGUCCACACGAGCUUGGCUGAAAGUGG